AUGUUGGUCCGUGAGGAGGUCGGCGAGAAAGAGAGGAGGCGAGGCGCUCACCGAGCUCGGUUGAGGUGCUGGCUGGUGAGGAGGUCGAGGUGGACGGAGCGGAAGCAGGGCGUCGUCCGGCGGCCGGCGAGAGCAGGGGCGGCGUCCGGAGGCCGGAGAGAGCAGGAGCGGGGCCGGAGGCGGAGGACUAGAGCUCGGUCGAGGAGAGGAAGAGGGAGCGGGGCCGGCGGCGGCGGACUGGAUCGGUCGCGGGGGAGACGGCGGCGCGAUUUCUUCCCUGAUGGGAACCUAGCAACGAGAGGAAACAGAGGAGAGGCGUAUUGGUGGGCUCCGGAGAGAACUGGGCCGAAUUUGUGGUUGUGGAUCGGCGAACAGUUCUCUGCAUCAAACGGUCCGCCGCACUCACUCUAG
rnacentral:rRNA from 1 species